rnacentral:lncRNA from 1 species
CUCCCCAUCGGGCCCGUGACAACCGUCGCGAGGCCUCGACAGACAUUCUUCACCCCGAAUGUCGAUUGAAACCUCGCAAGGCUUAGCAUCAACUUUCGCAUCUCCCCGGUGAGCAACAGUUAUUAAAUCUCGCAUUUCAAAAAAAUCAUAAGUCAUUUUUAAAUAAGAACAAUAAAAUAUUAUUUUCUAGCUCACAGGGGUAUUUUCGUAAUUUUUCGUCAAAAAUCUCAAAA